CAAAGAACUUUUUGUGUGCCAUGACACUGGUGUAAAAAUUGGAGUGUUUUUUUAUGUAAGUCAUCCACAUCUGCAACACCUCAGGAAACAUCCUGCAGCUCUUCCACCAGCAGUAAUUUCUCUCCCACUUUGACCAGCUGGCUCAUAACAUCCACUGAUGGCAUCAUGGAAAACCUGGGGUAUAGUUGCAUGACUUGCAGCCACAAACAGGUAAAACUUUUUAACACUUGCUCACUAAUUUCUUGUGUUUGUACUCCAAGAGCCUCAUGAUGCCCAUCCUCACUGUGUGCCUACACAAGGGGAGGGAGGAAGAAAAUGAAUCUCUUUGUAUCAGAGGUGCAAUGAUCCUGACAGAAGGACAGGGGUGAGGGCAAAAUCAACCAAAUUCCAAACAGCAAUUCUUGCUGUGGUUUGGGUCUGUGCAAUAAAUAUCUGUUUUAUCUUGCUGGGGCUUGGAUA
rnacentral:lncRNA from 1 species